CCUUUAAUCCAGAAGCUUUCUGUUUAUUUAGGCAAUUGACCCAGAGUGCAGGCAGCUUUCGCAAUACACUGGCUUUCCCCAGGCAUUUCCUUUGCCUAUCAGCAAGCACUUGACUUUCCUGGGCAAGCAGGAAGACAACAGCGCCCAGACAAAGCCAGCAGGUCGGUGAGGUUGUGGUGCAGGGCGAUAGGCGUCACCUGGGGAGUGCAGCAGGGACAGCGCUGGAGCCCUUGGGGCCUAGAAAUGCCGAGGGUUAAGGGGAGAGCGCAGGAGAGGCAGGUGGCCCAGGGACACGCAGAGAAGGGACAAAGCGGGAGGGUCCAGCCCACAACUGCAGGCCACAUGAGAGCACCAAGAGAACACCAAGUCUUUAUUACGGGAAUUCCUAUGAAACAGCUCCAAGAAAAAACCCACACAUAGGAGAAAAAAUAAUAAAGCAACACACAGAGACUUGGGGCUGGGGCUUCCCCCCGCUGCGACUGGUCCAGGGGCUGGCAAGGGAGGAGUCGGGGUCACGCCCAGAGCUCCUCUUCUGCCCCUCGGGGUCCAGCCGUCUGGAGCUUCAGUGGGCGGCUGAGGGUUCCCCCUCCCUUCAGCGGCCCGGGCCUGGCCAGGGACCCGCCAAGGCCGGGACCGCGACCAAGACCGUGACCGCGACCGGAGUCCCCAGCACCGCGCGUCCAAACUUGGUCACGCUGCCGGGCUUGAGGACUCUCGGCCGCCAGGGGUCGCAGAAGAGGGGAGGGGGACGAGGAGCGAGGCGCGAACUGGCUCCCCUCACCACGCCCCAUUACCUCGCAGCCACCGGGCCCCACAAAUACUGUGGAUCCACUCCCAGCCCCGCAACCCCGCAACCCCGCAACCCCGCGCAGGGAAGCUGGACCCGGGAGAGUGGCGUCUCCCUCCCCUUGGCAGUGGUCGUGGCCGGUUAAGCUGUCGCGGAGUCAGUUUCCCCUCCUCCCACCACUUUCUGGCUUUGGGCAGGCGCGCCCACCCGGCCCUGCACCUUCUCCAGGGCGUCACUCUUGAGUCCCCCGAGGCCCACCCUUGCAGGACAGACGCCGCCUCGGCUCGGAGGCCACCCUCCGACCCUGUUGGGAGAAGGGGGAAUGCUGAGGGCCACCUCUGGGCACGCCCACCCGCGGCUCUAAGCGGCUCUGCAGCCCGGGGAAAGGCUGAGAUGCAGGUGGCCUAAGAAAGGGGACGAAGUGCCCAGAGAGCCGGGGCCAGGGGUAGGAGGCUGGGCAGAGUCUGAGGCCUGGCUGGAGAGAGGGGGAGGGAGGAAGGCGGGAGCUCGCCUCCAGGCCAAAGAGCCUCAGAGCCUCGUUAGAGUGAUCCUGCUCUUUCCCAACUCCCACCUCUGCACUUUAAGUAGGGCAGGGGUGGUUCCUGUGAUUCCUGGUGAUUCCACUCAUUGCUGUAGAAAAGCCUGGCUGCAAAAGGGGCUGUGACCAGCUGCUGUCUCGAGGGGUCCCGAGCCCCCUCCUCCGAUCACGGAUGGUGACUCCGAAGUUGUAAGGCCGGCAGAAGGUGGCAGUGGCUGGGCUGGACCAUGGCAGGAGAACUACCCGGCCUCCAAAUCAAGUCCGGCUGCAUUUGGGCCUUUAGCAGGGUGCCGCCUUGCUCCUCGGCUGCCCCACCGGGUCGGGUCAGAGCAUCCCUGGCGAGGUGGAGAAGCUGGCACCUGGCAGGGAGAAGAGACAGGUGAAGUCCUUUUUCAAAGGUGCCCACUGGCUGGGCAUGGUAGUGCGUGACUGUAAUCCCGGGACUCUGGGAGCCUGAGGCAGGAGAAUCCUAAGUUCCUGGCAGCCUGGGCAAAACUUAGUAACUUAG
rnacentral:lncRNA from 1 species